GACGAACGCUGGCGGCGUGCUUAACACAUGCAAGUCGAACGGAAAGGCCCUGCUUUUGUGGGGUGCUCGAGUGGCGAACGGGUGAGUAACACGUGAGUAACCUGCCCUUGACUUUGGGAUAACUUCAGGAAACUGGGGCUAAUACCGGAUAGGAGCUCCUGCUGCAUGGUGGGGGUUGGAAAGUUUCGGCGGUUGGGGAUGGACUCGCGGCCUAUCAGCUUGUUGGUGGGGUAGUGGCUUACCAAGGCUUUGACGGGUAGCCGGCCUGAGAGGGUGACCGGCCACAUUGGGACUGAGAUACGGCCCAGACUACUACGGGAGGCAGCAGUGGGGAAUAUUGCACAAUGGGCGGAAGCCUGAUGCAGCAACGCCGCGUGCGGGAUGACGGCCUUCGGGUUGUAAACCGCUUUCGCCUGUGACGAAGCGUGAGUGACGGUAAUGGGUAAAGAAGCACCGGCUAACUACGUG
rnacentral:rRNA from 1 species